GAGGGUGUGGCUCAGUGGUAGAAUGUGUGCCUAGCAUGCAUGAGGUCCUGGGCUCAAUCCUCAGUACCUCCG
rnacentral:tRNA from 1 species